rnacentral:rRNA from 1 species
CACCGCGGUUAUACGAGGGGCCCAAGUCAAUAGUUAACGGCGUAAAGAGUGGUUAGAGAAACCCGUCAGUAAAGCCGAACCCCUUCCAAACUGUUAUACGCUGACCGAAGAUGAGAAGCUCAUUCACGAAAGUAGCUUUAUACUCUUGAAUCCACGAAAGCUAAGGCA